rnacentral:rRNA from 1 species
CCUACGGGUGGCAGCAGUAGGGAAUUUUCGGCAAUGGAGGGAACCCUGACCGAGCCACGCCGCGUGAACGAAGAAGUUCUUCUUAAUGUAAAGUUCUUUUAACAGGGAAGUAAGAUAAAUUUGACGGUACCUUUCGAAUAAGCUCCGUCAAUCUACUUGCCGUCACCCGCGGUAAUCGGUAGCGAUCGAGCGUUGUCCGAAAUUAUUGGGCGAAAAGGUUGCGUAGAUGGUAGAUUAAGUCUUUUGUAAAAAUGGUUGGCUAAACGCAGAAGGGCAAAAGAUACUGGAAAGCUAGAGUAUGACAGAGGUGAGUGGAAUUAGAGGUGUAGCGGUAAAAUGCGUAGAUAUAAGUAAGAACACCGGUGGCGAAGGCGGCUUGCUGGGUCGAAACUGACAUUGAGGCACGAAAGCGUGGGGAGCAAACAGGAUUAGAUACCCGAGUAGUC